CAGUCGCCGCGGUAAUACGGAGGGGGCUAGCGUUGUUCGGAAUUACUGGGCGUAAAGCGCACGUAGGCGGCUUGGUAAGUUAGAGGUGAAAGCCCGGAGCUCAACUCCGGAAUUGCCUUUAAGACUGCCGAGCUAGUAGGUGAGAGAGGUAAGUGGAAUUCCGAGUGUAGAGGUGAAAUUCGUAGAUAUUCGGAAGAACACCAGUGGCGAAGGCGGCUUACUGGCUCAUUCUAGACGCUGAGGUGCGAAAGCGUGGGGAGCAAACAAGAUUAGAUACCCCGGUAGUCCCUGUCUCUUAUAC
rnacentral:rRNA from 1 species